GGCAGUACAACAAAACAGACAAGGUCAAGGACAAGAAGUGGAAGUAAGAAGCACCUGAUUCAUCGCAGCUGGUCAGGGGCGGCUCCCGAACGACUUUUGAGGGGCUUUGUGGAUGAGACCCCUGGAAUAGAUCCAUUUGCACUGGGAUCUCAAGUCUGCAGGAACUGGUUUCCUUUCUACGAAAUUGAGGCCACCCAAAAUAGAUCUGUGCAUCUUCCCACAAAAGACGAUUCGAUGUUGUUUUCAGUACGUGCGGUGUGAAACGAUGAAAGGAUGGGAUCGAUUUGAAAGUGGACUGCUUCGAUUCGGUUGAUGAAUCCUGCCUCUGUCCCUCUUCCCUGAAAGAGGGAAGCACCAUUCCCCAACCCCCCGGCACCCCUCUCAUCGUUCCAAGAGGAAACACAUUUGGAAUGCUGCACAUUACAGUAGCGUCUCCCCAUUCCUCCUCCAUCCUCUCCCCAAUCUAAUUUGCCAGCACGCGAUGCAUUCAAAUUCCACGUGUCACGUGAGUGCUCCUCAUUUGCAUAAUCCUGGAAAGAAGGAGGGCGGUGUGAGCCAAUAGAAACCCGGAGUGGCAGUGACGUAAGGAAGGCGGGGCAGGAGGCUUCUCGCUUGCAGUACGUGACGUUCGAGUCAGUGUGCACUGUGCAGCUUCACUCUGCACUGAAGGAACCAGGCAGGAUAUCCCACUAUCUCUCCUCCCCUCCGAGCCAGCCCAGGGAAGAGGCACCGCGGCGUCACGGGAGAGGAUGCCCUGCUAAAUCAAGGGAUAGGCCCGGGAAAAUCAGCCGGCCCCGUCCUUUCUUUCCUUCAUUCCUCCCGCACGACAAGCGACACCCUCCUUCCACCUGGAAGCGAGAGAGAGAGAGAGAGGACGUCUGCUUCUCCUCACAAAACAACCCACCACCACGUCCACUUUGUCCCCCCACCCCCAACUCGUGUGCACGGGGGGUUCUCCGUGACGACCCCCGCGCGUGGAUUCUAUGGAACAAGGGCCGACCUGGUACUUGUUAACACGAAGGCUAACUAGUUAGCUACACCUGCUAACCACCGUUUUUCGAUAUCGACUGGGAACAAGUUUACUUUGUCUACUUAUUAUUUUUUUGUACUGCUUUCACGAGCAUUCGUUCAGAUCUAUUGUUUCUAUUUUACGAAACGAUUUUAUAAACGUUUUUUAAUA